rnacentral:lncRNA from 1 species
AUAGUUGCGGUUUAAGUUGUUUAGGUUGAGAAGCUCUAUGCAAACAGUGCACAGAAGUGCAUGUUCAUGCUAAGAACAAAAUAUGGCGCUUAGAGCGCUUCUGCUGCUCAACUUCUUUGUUCUAUGCUUUUUGUGAUGUUUAGCCUUGAUGUGUUGAUAAGAGGGAGUGCAAAAGGAUUUAUUUUUAAUAUUUGUAUUUGUUUAUGAUGGGUUUGUGUUGUUUUAUUUUUUUUUCUGAUUUUUACAAAUGAGUUCUAAACUCGGCGCUUCCAAAAUGCAAAAGACAAAUGUUGGGACAUCCUUUGCACAUAGACCUAAAGAGGGUCC